AAGUCGUAACAAGGUUUCCGUAGGUGAACCUGCGGAAGGAUCAUCACGAGAGGGACGCCGCAAGGCGCACCACAACACUGUGUUGCCGAGCGAUGAGUGCAGUCAGCGCGAGCGCGCAGCGCGAACGCUGCUGCACACGUCUAUUGACACCAUGCAAACUGAACUAGCUAAACAGCAACCAACAACAAACACAACUGUUAGCAACGGAUCACUUGGUUCUC
rnacentral:misc_RNA from 1 species